rnacentral:rRNA from 1 species
UACAGAGACCUCAAGCGUUAUCCGGAUCAUUGGGCGUAAAGCGUACCGAUAGGUGGUCAAGAAAGUCAGAGGUGAAAUCUCAAGGCUCAACUUUGAGACUGUCCUUUGAAACUUCUCGACUAGAGGGGCAAAGAGGAAGCUAGAACGAAACGGUGUAGUAGUGAAAUGCGUUGAUAUCGUUCGGAAUACCGAUAGCGAAGGCCAGGCUUCUGGGUGCCACCUGACACUGCUAGGACGAAAGCGUGGGGAGCGAAGUAGGGAUUGAGAAACCC